UUUGUAAACAUUGUUUUUUAAAAGUGCUAUACAAAUAUAGUUAUAGUUAAUAAGGUAAAUAUUUGCCUCUGAGAUGUAGUAGAGUAGAAGUAAAGUGACAUAAUAAGACUCAAGCAAUAUACAAGUAGGCCUACUUCAACUGUGUACAGUACAGUAAAGCACACUAGUGGAGGGAAAUUCCUACAGGUGUGUUAGCUUCAGAUAGGGCUGAAAAUACAUCAAGGAGGACAUGUGUGAAAACAUAAAGAUAAGUAAAAGCUUUAAAAAUGCAGAUAUCCAUAACUUGAUAUAUCAGUCUGCAUUUUAUAUUCAACCCCAGUCAACAGUGACUGGGGGUUCUUCCAUAUUUUAAUGAGAUCAGGGCCAGUAUUGGCUAACCCAUAUAUCUGUCUGACCCCCGUUACGGCAUCCAUUCAUCAGACGGCCUGCAUUUUCUCCAGCUGAGCCUGUGAGGCAGCCAGAGAGGCCGGCAGGACUGUGAUCUGCCAUGCACAAAUACGCCAGGCAGAGGGAUGGGAAGGGAAGGGAGAGGCGAGAAGAGAGGAGCUGUGUCAGAGCUGUCUGCGCUGAGGCCUUCAACACUGUCAACAACACAGAGCUCUGAUGGAACCAGGCCGACUGCCGCUGCUGACGGAGCUGGAGCUGUUACAGCUCCUGAUUACCAGGCUGAGACUGACCCAAUCUGUCGGGACCUCCCAAGGGUUGGCCCCCUGGGUCAGGACCACCAAUCAGGAGCUAACAACUCAGAGGUCCUGGAGAGGCAGAGGGAAAAAUCCAAAGCAGACCCUGCACUGAGCUGAGAACUGCUCUCUUUGACAUCGACUCCAACUACCACGGUCUUCAGAGGAAGUGUGGCGAGAGAAGAAGUGCUCUGAAGCUUUGAAUAGUUGUACAUUUAAUGUUUUGUGUAUUGUUGAAAAGCAUUUCAAUAUUCAAAGAGAUGGAAAUAGAACAACAAAUAACUCAAGGGCUUAUUUAAAACUGUCACACAUUUGUCAUAAUAAGACAUUAUAAAGUUGACAGCUAACAGGUUAGCAAACGACACAUCCAGCAGCAAGAUUAGUAUUCAUUUGGAGUCGGGUUUCUGGAAACCUGAUGCUUUUUUUCCCUCCCCUCAGAACAAUAUCUGGGUGUUUAGCUUGCUGCUAGGACAGGUGUACAGUGGGUUUAUCUGGGCUUUCUCAUGAGAGCGGUAAGGCAGUUGUGGGCCUUAAAACCCAAAAAGUUAAAAUCUCUGUGGAGCUGAGGGGAACUGAGUGAUAAAUGCCACAGCGGCCCGGGAUUGAUUCCAGCCUGCGGCCGUUUGCUGCAUGUCAUCCCUUCUUCACUACCCCUUUCCUGUCUAUCUUCACCUGUCCUGUCACAUAAAGGCAAAAAUAAAAUCUGCAUCUAAAUGCUUCCUACUUUAUCAGAUUUUUUUAAAAUAACAUAUUUUGGCUAAAAUAGCAUUAUUCAUGUGUCCAUGAGUUUGACGUUCCACCCAGUCACACCCCUGUAUUUCUGCACUAAAAUACUCAGAGAGAGAGAGGUGGCAGUGUUUAAGGUUUUUAAUUUAAAUGCUGGUGAGUUAUGAUUUCCUUUUAUAUCAUUUUUUUGUUACAUUUUUCUUUCAAAAUCUCUGUCAAGCAUAACAUAUCCACCCUGUCAUUCAAAAACAUUGAAAACAUGUUUUUAAUGAAAUUUGGAUAAUAUAUGUAUUUGCAUAAAGCUUUUUUUUUUUCAUUUACCGGCAAGUGUGGUGUUAUUGUUAAUCAAUUAAAUUAGGUAAUUCAUUUUAGCCUUUUAGGCCUUUUUCACAGCAGCCAUUUUGACAUGAAAUAGUAGGUUAAACACAGGUGGUAUGAAUCGUACUAAUUACGGUUCCGUUCCAUUAAGUGUAUCAGAGCUUUUCCAGUGAGCCAACAUACACAAUAGCAGCAGCUGACUCUGUUUGACCUGAAUGGAACAGAACCUUAAUUAGUAUCACUGGUAACACCUGUCUUUACUCUACUAUUUCUUGUCAAACUGGCUGCUGUGAAAAAGGUCUAUUACUUCUCUCCCCCAGCACAGGGGUGGAGUGACAAAAAUAGUAAAAAAAAAAAAACAAACAAACAAAAAACAUACUUAAUGCUAUGAAAUACAAAAUUCCCCAUUUGUUUAUAAUCAAAGAUAUUAAAAUUCCAAGGUCCAAUCUGAGCAGUAUCCAUGGAAUGACCACAAAAUGUCGAUACGUGCUCCUUUAACCAACCCUCAACGGCAGAGGUCAUAAGAGUCAUUUUAGUUCUGAUCAUUUGUAACUGUACCUGUUUUGGCAGGCACUGACAAAUCACCUGUUUUGUUGUUAGGGGUGAUGGACACCAAAAAAACAUAUAUGUUUUCUAUUCAUUUUAUUUUCACUUAUUUGGUCAUAGAUGUGUCUCGUGAUUGUUCCUCUAAAGUAUACUAAAAGCAAUUUUUAGGUAAGAAGAAUAUAAAAACAAUUUCAUAUCAAUGCUCUCUUUGUUAUAAUAUGGCAUCCAAACACACUUUGUAUUGUUUUUAUGGCCCCUGCUCUCCACUCUGAUAAUUAAAAUUAGUAGACUAAAUUCACUCUGUGUUCGGAGGAAUUUCACACUUUUAUAUAUACUGUAUAAAUGUGAUAGUUGCCCACGGACUGCUCUCCCUUCUCCCCCUCCCACCUGUAGCAUUUUAAUCUUGGCACCUUCUCCUCCAUAACUAUCUUGGCUCGUAUCUGUGAGUGCUUCUUUUUUUCCAGAGCCCAACGCCUGCUCCCUCAUUCACUAAUCUCUAAUAAGAGCUCACGGCCCUGCUGGUCCACAGUUAACCUCUAGGCACUUGGGAGAUGCUCCACCGCCUCCUCUACAUAUGGCCGUUGUGGAUUUUGGGCGGCAGCCAGGGUGCCCUCUCGCGUCUGCCCGCCUGCCCACCCGCCAAACGCUGGCCCCGUACUGAGGCACAAAAGCAUUUGUAUGCCAGUCAUGUUUUGAAGGGGCCACUGGCUCUUUAAGACUGUGGGAAAGAGGGCAUUUCUACACUGAAACGGCCCCGUUUUCACACAUUCCUGAGGAGGGCAUAUUGAGCUCAUUAUCAUAGCUAACUACAAUGGCUCUUUGUGCGGGAUCUGGGAUUUGGGAGGGUGCCAAAUAUCCUCGGGUGCAUGUGUAGAUGCACAUGUGUGAAUCUGUCUUCAUAUUUUUUGUGUGUAAACUGAAACAACAGAUAUAGUCAAUAAUGCUUAAUGUGAAUGUGCUUGAUGUAUUACAAGAGUGUAAUAAGCUUCAUUUAAAGCAAAGCUUAGUUCUAUUGUUCUCACUAUGAAAACAACAAAAAAAGAUGCUAUAUUAAUUUCUAUCAUGGCAAUAAAAACUCUAAACAGUCGUAUUUAGUACGCUAUGUUGUAAAAAAGAUAAUAAUCAUGAAUUCAGUUAUUUACAACCCUGACAACCCUUGUCAAAACUUGUGUUUGGUUCUGGGCAGAAACGUGGUGGUUUAACAUGGCAGACUCCAUAGAAGAGGACACUCGCCCUCUCAAAAUUGCUAAUUCUGAGUAACAUUUCUUAUUUUCAGGUUAUUAUACACUAAUGAAAACACACCUAUGAAUAUUGUGUAACAGACGAUGCUUGAGGCUUGGUGUUGCUGCUAGUCACUCACAUAGCUCUCCAAGCUUCGUUCUCUUUUCUCUACAGUGUUGUUUACUCCCCUCUGGCAUUUGGCUCUCAGAAUUCAUUCAUUUCAUUUCAUUGAAUAAAAAGUUACUGACAAGGGGAAAACAAAUCUCUCUCAGAUUUGGAAAGCUCGCAAACUCAUGAGCUUGGUUGCUAAUGGGACAAAGAGUUUGGUGAGUUAGUUUAUUCAAAAGACAUAAUAGUACCAUCGACUCCUGUCUCAAACCAUGCUUCUUUAGUGGAGCAGCUUAUACUUUGAUAGAAGAGGUUAAAUAAAAGUGGAUGGUGCCACAAUGCUAAUAUGCUAUGAUAUACUUCCUCCAUUUUGGACUCCCUCGACAGUCACCAUUGAACCUUUAAAUAUAUAGAAAACUCUUAGUUUGGAUGGUCAGCUGAUGUUGUUACAGUGGCUGAAGACUUUCAGCAUGUUAAAAAGGAGAGGAAGCACGCACAGCAUGGGGCCCAACAAACCAUGCCAAUCUGGAGCUGCCCAACCUGUCUCCAACGCCUCUCCACGCUGCGCCAUCUUUCCUUGAACCAGACAUUAAAAAAUUGUGCAGAUUUACUUCUCUCCUACACAAAAUCUGGCUUUAAUUUCAGAAUUUCUGGUCCCACGACCAAAACAACAAUGUGUUUGUCUGUCUCUUAAUACUCUGUGACUUUCCUACCCUGGGCCAGAAGUCCACUGGUUCCUUCUGGAGACAUAAAUCUUUAGGAAUGGCUCACAAUUAUAUAGUUUGGUGUUUUUAAAAAGAAUCUGAUUUCGAGCAAACAUUACUCAUAGAAGUAAAUAGUGCAGACUACUUGUUGGGGCCUAUUUUAACAGUGGAUUAAUCUACAUUUGGUGCUCUAGUGAGUAUUUGGGGGCAGCAGCAUGAUAAGUUACAGUGUGUGUUCGUGGUAAUGAAGGAUCAUUUCACCCUGUGCAAAAGUGCGGCUCACUGAUGUGUUUUUGACAACAAUGGAGCUCUAUAGCACAGAGGAAGAAGCUACUUCAGGCUGUGAUACACACACAAUACUUGUUAGUCGAUAUACAUCCAUUGUUGAUUUUGAGUAUUUUGAUAGGAUUUGGUGACAAUAAGAAAAUACUGAAUAUCGACAAUGUUAUCCUUUAAGAGAAGCACUCCAAGUGUCGAGCUUUUGUGUUUGAAGAAUCAUUAGCACUGCUUGUGUUUGCAACCCUGGUGUGAUUGCAUGUGUAAUGGGGCAGGUAUGUUUGAGUCAAUGAGUAUGUUGCAGUAGUACUGAUGAUAUCGGGGGGCUGAGCAGCGUGUAUUAUGUUACACAGGAACACAUUAGCAGCCAGCCACUCUGAAAGUGGCGCCCUCGUUUCCUACAAGGAUGCUCCCAGCAGCCACACUGAUCGAAGCCGACAACAACAGCUUUCCCCCUGCUCCCCUUCCCCUAAAUACAUACGCACAUGCAAACGCGUCAGCAACAAAACAUUUUCCAUGACAAAAAUGGCGACAGCCGCAGAAUCAAUUCGAAUCUUCCUUCUCCAGUGACACCAAUGAAACAGAGCCCAGCAGAAGUUAUCGCAGCAGAUGCAGUGUGAGGCCAUCGUGUUUCACUAUGUAUUCC
ensembl:lncRNA